UACGUAGGGUGCAAGCGUUGUCCGGAAUUAUUGGGCGUAAAGGGCUCGUAGGCGGUCCAUCACGUCGGGAGUGAAAAGCUGGGGCUUAACCCCAGUCCUGCUUCCGAUACGGGUGGACUAGAGGUAGGCAGGGGAGAACGGAAUUCCUGGUGUAGCGGUGAAAUGCGCAGAUAUCAGGAGGAACACCGGUGGCGAAGGCGGUUCUCUGGGCCUUACCUGACGCUGAGGCGCGAAAGCUAGGGGAGCAAACAGG
rnacentral:rRNA from 1 species